rnacentral:rRNA from 1 species
ACGAACGCUGGCGGCGUGCUUAACCCAUGCCAGUCGCACGGAAAGGCCCUGCUUUUGUGGGGUGCUCGAGUGGCGAACGGGUGAGUAACACGUGAGUAACCUGCCCUUGACUUUGGGAUAACUUCAGGAAACUGGGGCUAAUACCGGAUAGGAGCUCCUGCUGCAUGGUGGGGGUUGGAAAGUUUCGGCGGUUGGGGAUGGACUCGCGGCUUAUCAGCUUGUUGGUGGGGUAGUGGCUUACCAAGGCUUUGACGGGUAGCCGGCCUGAGAGGGUGACCGGCCACAUUGGGACUGAGAUACGGCCCAGACUCCUCCGGGAGGCAGCAGUGGGGAAUAUUGCACAAUGGGCGGAAGCCUGAUGCAGCAACGCCGCGUGCGGGAUGACGGCCUUCGGGUUGUAAACCGCUUUCGCCUGUGACGAAGCGUGAGUGACGGUAAUGGGUAAAGAAGCACCGGCUAACUACGUG